rnacentral:rRNA from 1 species
GAUGAACGCUAGCGGAAGGCUUAAUACAUGCAAGUCGAGCGGUAGGUGGCUUCGGCCAUUGAGAGCGGCGCACGGGUGAGUAACGCGUACAUGACCUGCCUGUCAGAAGGGGAUAGCCCUGGGAAACUGGGAUUAAUACCCUAUGGUCUUGAUAUUAUGAAUGAUAUCAAUUAAAGUUGAGGCGCUGACAGAUGGAUGUGCGUCUGAUUAGCUAGUUGGUAGGGUAUCGGCCUACCAAGGCGACGAUCAGUAGGGGGCGUGAGAGCGUGGUCCCCCACACGGGUACUGAGACACGGACCCGACUCCUACGGGAGGCAGCAGUAAGGAAUAUUGGUCAAUGCCCGCAAGGGUGAACCGGCCAUUCCGCGUGGAGGAUGAAGGCCCUGUGGGUUGUAAACUUCUUUUAGAUGGGAAGAAAAUGCUAGAUGUAUCUGGUACUGACGGUACCAUCAGAAUAAGCACCGGCUAACUCCGUGCCAGCCGCCGCUGUAACAC